AACCUGGUUGAUCCUGCCAGUAGUCAUAUGCUUGUCUCAAAGACUAAGCCAUGCAAGUGUAAGUAUAAAUCAUAUACCGUGAAACUGCGAAUAGUUCCGUAAAACAGUUAUAGUUUAUUUGAUGGUGGACUUUACUUGGACAACUGUAGAAACCUAGAGCUAAUACAUGCGCAAAGGCCUCGCAAGGGGCUGUAUUUAUUAGAUAUGAACCAACAGCGAAAGCUAUUGAGGUGAAUCAUAAUGACUGAUCGGAUCGCAGCAAUGCGACGCGUCACUCAAGUUUCUGCCCUAUCAGCUUUGGAUGGUAGUGUAUUGGACUACCAUGGCGGUGACGGGUACGGGGAAUUAGGGUUCGAUUCCGGAGAGGGAGCCUGAGAAACGGCUACCAUUACUCACGUGAGCAGCAGGCGCGCAAAUUACUCAAUCCUGACUCAGGGAAGUAGUGACAAGAAAUAACAGACCGGGUCGGAAGCGAUUCUGGGAGUGUAAUGAGUGCAAUUUAAAAGAAUGCAUGAGAAGCAAUUGGAGGGCAAGACUGGUGACAGCAGCCGCGGUAAUUCCAGCUCCAAUAGCGUAUAUUAAAGUUGCUGCAGUUAAAAAGCUCGUAGUCGAUCCUCUGGCCGGCUGCCUGCCUGAAAAAGACAGGCUGCCAGGCCUUUGCCCUGAAGCACGGCUCGCAGGGGCCGUUUGGAGGGGCCUUACUCUGAAGAAAUCAGGAUGCUCCAAAUGGGCUUAUGCCCCUAAGAUGAAGCUGAGAAUAAUUGAAACGGCCAGGUCCGUUUGUUGGUUCACGGGACUUGGAAUGGUUAAAAGGGACAGUUGGGGGCGGAGGGACUUGGUAGAAAGAGGUGAAAUUCGUUGACCUACCAAAGACCAACUAAUGCGAAGGCAUCUGCCAUGGAUGUUUUCAUUGAUCAAGAACGAAAGUUGCGGGAUCAAAGACGAUCAGAUACCGUCGUAGUCGCAACCCUAAACUAUGCCGACUAGGGAUUGGCCUGGCGAUUAACCAGGCCAGCACCUAACGAGAAAUCAAAGUCUUUGGGUUCUGGGGGGAGUAUGGUCGCAAGGCUGAAACCUAAAGGAAUUGACGAAAGGGCACCACCAGGAGUGGAGCUUGCGGCUUAAUUUGAGAAGGCUCGGGGAAACUUACCAGGGCAAGAUGAAGAUAGGAUUGACAGACUGAGAGCUCUUUCAUGAUUCUUCAAGUGGUGGUGCAUGGCCGUUCUUGGUUCGUGGGGCGACCCGUCUGGUUUAUUCCGGCAACGAACGAGACCUCGGCUCUUAAAUAGCCGCUGCUACCUCCAUAGCAGGCGGCUUCUUAGGAGGACUGCGUGGGGAAACCACGAGGAAGCACGAGGCUAAAGCAGGUCCGUGAUGCCCUUAGAUGUCCUGGGCCGCACGCGAGCUACACUGACGCACGCAACAAGCAUCCCUGCUCUGAAAGGAGUGGGUAAUCUCCAGGGUGCGUCGUGCUGGGGAUAGAUCUUUGCAAUUCUGGAUCUUGAACCAGGAAUUCCUAGUAAGCGCAAGUCACCAGCUUGCGCUGAUUACGUCCCUGCCCUUUGUACACACCGCCCGUCGACCUUAUUAAAGCGGCACUUUUCAAAGUAUUCGGACUCAGCCCUAAAGAAUGGGGAAGGAUAAUUAGUCAAGUGUUGCCGAAAAGGGCUGUCGUAACAAGGUUUCCGUAGGUGAACCUGCAGAAGGAUCA
rnacentral:rRNA from 1 species